CAUGGCUCAGAUUGAACGCUGGCGGCAGGCCUAACACAUGCAAGUCGAACGGAGUAUAUUGUAGCUUGCUAUGGUAUAACUUAGUGGCAGACGGGUGAGUAAUGUAUAGGAAUCUACCUAGUAGUACGGAAUAAUUGUUGGAAACGGCAACUAAUACCGUAUACGCCCUACGGGGAAAAAAUUUAUUGCUAUUAGAUGAGCCUAUAUUAGAUUAGUUAGUUGGUGAGGUAAAGGCUUACCAAGACAAUGAUCUAUAGCUGAUCUGAGAGGAUGAUCAGCCACACUGGAACUGAGAUACGGUCCAGACUCCUACGGGAGGCAGCAGUGGGGAAUAUUGGACAAUGGGCGAAAGCCUGAUCCAGCCAUGCCGCAUGAGUGAAGAAGGCCUUCGGGUUGUAAAGCACUUUCAGCGGUGAGGAAGGCGGUGGCGUUAAUAGCGCCAUCGAUUGACGUUACCCGCAAGAAGCACUGGCUAACUCCGUGCCAGCAGCCGCGGUAAUACGGAGGGUGCGAGCGUUAAUCGGAAUUACUGGGCGUAAAGCGUACGCAGGCGGUCUGUUAAGUCAGAUGUGAAAUCCCCGGGCUUAACCUGGGAACUGCAUUUGAAACUGGCAGGCUAGAGUCUCGUAGAGGGGGGUAGAAUUCCAGGUGUAGCGGUGAAAUGCGUAGAGAUCUGGAGGAAUACUGGUGGCGAAGGCGGCCCCCUGGACAAAGACUGACGCUCAGGUACGAAAGCGUGGGGAGCAAACAGGAUUAGAUACCCUGGUAGUCCACGCUGUAAACGAUGUCGAUUUGAAGGUUGUGGCCUUGAGCCGUGGCUUUCGGACGUAACGCGUUAAAUCGACCACCUGGGGAGUACGGCCGCAAGGUUAAAACUCAAAUGAAUUGACGGGGGCCCGCACAAGCGGUGGAGCAUGUGGUUUAAUUCGAUGCAACGCGAAGAACCUUACCUACUCUUGACAUCCAGAGAACUUGGCAGAAAUGCCUUGGUGCUUCGGGAGCUCUGAGGCAGGUGUUGCAUGGCUGUCGUCAGCUCGUGUCGUGAGAUGUUGGGUUAAGUCCCGCAACGAGCGCAACCCUCAUCCUUAGUUGCCAUCAGGUAAUGCUGAGCACUUUAAGGAAACUGCCAGUGAUAAGCUGGAGGAAGGUGGGGAUGAUGUCAAGUCACCAUGGCCUUUAUGGAGUGGGCUACACACGUGCUACAAUGGUGUCUACAAUGGGCUGCAAAGUCGCGAGGCUAAGCUAAUCCCUAAAAAACAUCUCAGUUCGGAUUGUACUCUGCAACUCGAGUACAUGAAGUUGGAAUCGCUAGUAAUCGUGGAUCAGCAUGCCACGGUGAAUACGUUCUCGGGUCUUGUACACACUGCCCGUCACGCCAUGGGAAUUGGUUUCACUCGAAGCUAAUGGCCUAACCGCAAGGAAGGACUUAUUUAAAGUGGGAUCAGUGACUGGGGUGAAGUCGUAACAAGGUAACCGUAGGGGGAA
rnacentral:rRNA from 1 species